GCUGGGCAUGGUGGCGGGCGCCUGUAAUCCAAGCUACUCAGGAAGCUGAGGCAGGGGAAUCGCUUGAACCUGGGAGGCGGAGGUUGCAGUGAGCCAAGAUCGUGCCACUGCACUACAGCCUGGGUGACAAAGCGAGACUCUGUCUCAA
rnacentral:SRP_RNA from 1 species